GGCGGACGGGUGAGUAACGCGUAGGAAUCUACCUAGUAGAAGGGGAUAGCCCGGGGAAACUCGGAUUAAUACCGUAUACCUCCUAAGGGAGAAAGAGGGCCUCUCUUGAUGCUCUCACUAUUAGAUGAGCCUGCGUAAGAUUAGCUUGUUGGUGAGGUAAUGGCUUACCAAGGCUACGAUCUUUACCUGGUCUGAGAGGACGAUCAGCCACAUUGGGACUGAGACACGGCCCAGACUCCUACGGGAGGCAGCAGUGGGGAAUAUUGGACAAUGGGCGCAAGCCUGAUCCAGCCAUACCGCGUGUGUGAACAAGGCCUUCCGGGUUGUAAAGCACUUUAAGCCGGGAGAAAAAGUUAUAAGUUAAUACCUUAUAACCGUGAUGUUACCCGCAGAAUAAGCACCGGCUAAUUCCGUGCCAGCAGCCGCGGUAAUACGGAAGGUGCAAGCGUUAAUCGGAAUUACUGGGCGUAAA
rnacentral:rRNA from 1 species